rnacentral:rRNA from 1 species
UACCCGCGCCCCGAGUUGUGACCUCGAUUAUUGGGCUUAGAGCGUUCGUAGCCGGUUCGAUAAGUUUCUGGUGAAAUCUGGCAGCAAACUGUCAGGCAUGCUAGGGAUACUGUUGAACUUGGGACCGGGAGAGGCUGAGGGUAUUCUUGGGGUAAGGGUAAAAUCUUCUAAUCCCAAGAGGACCACCUGUGGCGAAGGCGCUCAGCUGGAACGGAUCCGACGGUGAGGGACGAAAGCGUGGGGAG